rnacentral:rRNA from 1 species
UACAGAGGGUGCAAGCGUUAAUCGGAAUUACUGGGCGUAAAGCGCGCGUAGGUGGUUUGUUAAGUUGGAUGUGAAAUCCCCGGGCUCAACCUGGGAACUGCAUUCAAAACUGACAAGCUAGAGUAUGGUAGAGGGUGGUGGAAUUUCCUGUGUAGCGGUGAAAUGCGUAGAUAUAGGAAGGAACACCAGUGGCGAAGGCGACCACCUGACUGAUACUGACACUGGAGGUGCGAAAGCGUGGGAGCAAACAGG